rnacentral:rRNA from 1 species
ACGUAGGUGGCAAGCGUUGUCCGGAAUCACUGGGCGUAAAGCGCGCGCAGGCGGCCAUUUAAGUCUGGGGUGAAAGCCCGAAGCUCAACUUCGGGACUGCCUUGGAUACUGGGUGGCUUGAGCAUCAGAGAGGCAAGGGGAAUUCCACGUGUAGCGGUGAAAUGCGUAGAGAUGUGGAGGAACACCAGUGGCGAAGGCGGCAAACUGGAUAGGCACUGACACUCAACAACGAAAGCGUGGGGAGCAAACAGGA